rnacentral:rRNA from 1 species
GAUGAACGCUAGCUACAGGCUUAACACAUGCAAGUCGAGGGGAAACGAUAUUGGAAGCUUGCUUCCGAUAGGCGUCGACCGGCGCACGGGUGAGUAACGCGUAUCCAACCUGCCCACCACUUGGGGGAUAACCUUGCGAAAGUAAGACUAAUACCCAAUGACGUCUCUAGAAGACAUCUGAAAGAGAUUAAAGAUUUAUCGGUGAUGGAUGGGGAUGCGUCUGAUUAGCUUGUUGGCGGGGUAACGGCCCACCAAGGCGACGAUCAGCAGGGGUUCUGAGAGGAAGGUCCCCCACAUUGGAACUGAGACACGGUCCAAACUCCUACGGGAGGCAGCAGUGAGGAAUAUUGGUCAAUGGGCGAGAGCCUGAACCAGCCAAGUAGCGUGCAGGAUGACGGCCCUAUGGGUUGUAAACUGCUUUUAUGCGGGGAUAAAGUGUGGGACGUGUCCCA